rnacentral:lncRNA from 1 species
GGAAACCCCAGUGUCAGAAGGGGAAGGUGCUGCUAAUCGCUGGUUUCCAUGCGUGAGUUUGGGUUAAUUCCAGCAAUGCCAUCCAGGAAACAAAGUCAGCAGAAGCCUUUCCUAUUAAAACUGUCACAGCUUGAUAGGACUCAUUCGACAAAACUAAAAGGGAAACAGCCACCUCGAGCUUCUGUUCACUGUGAGGCAAGAGAUGGGGGGGAGGCAGGAGGGGGUUUUGCAAAUCUGAAAGCGAGAGGAGUUGCUAGUCCACCCGUGACAUGGAGCCAGCAGCAAAGAUCAUCACUGUUUCUCUGAGUGGGAGUUUUGCUGUACAAGAUGGCCUGAAAUGAAAAUGAGCUGC